rnacentral:rRNA from 1 species
UAUGGAGGAUGCGAGCGUUAUCCGGAUUUAUUGGGUUUAAAGGGUGCGUAGGCGGGCUUUUAAGUCAGCGGUAAAAAUUCGGGGCUCAACCCCGUCCGGCCGUUGAAACUGGGGGCCUUGAGUGGGCGAGAAGAAGGCGGAAUGCGUGGUGUAGCGGUGAAAUGCAUAGAUAUCACGCAGAACCCCGAUUGCGAAGGCAGCCUUCCGGCGCCCUACUGACGCUGAGGCACGAAAGUGCGGGGAUCGAACAGG